GCUUGUUUGUUUGUCUUACUUUUGUUAAUUACUAACAUUCUUCAUUCAAAAUGCUUUUGUAAAUUACUGCAAUAUCCAUUUGUUUUAUGGUAGUUUUCAUAAUUUGUGUAUAUUGCAUUAUUUCUGGUUUCCUCAGCUGGUUUUCUUUUUCAAAAGAGUGAAUUCUUAAAUACAGUAUCUCCCUAUAAAAACCUUCAUAGGAGAGAAGCUUCAUUGUUAACUCCAAGCUAUGUGGUCAGACUAUUCCGGAUGUGUGUUCUGAAGUCACCUCUCAGGUUUAAUGCCUAUGGUUUGUGACUAGUGUUGUUAGCUCUUUGUAUACUAAAUCCUGUGCCUUGGGGGUUGGAGCUCCAGCCUAGUCUAUCAUUCCUGUCAAAUGAUGUCACCAUCCCCUCUUGCACCAAUCUGGUUGACCACACACAUAUGUAAAAAAACAGGUGUACCAGCAGGUUUUUAAUUGCCACUGUUAAACUGUCUUGCAAAUAUGUAGCAGUCCUUCAAACGUUAGUAAAAAUCCAGUUCAACAUUUACCUGGUCUCUCUCUUUUUUCCAUUUUCUACACAUGUAUCCAAACAACGAUGUGAGUGUUCUUUCUGAGAGUGAGCAAAUGGACCAUUAUAAAGUCAAGACCACUUGGUUAUGAAGGGCACCUUUCAUUUAUUGAAUGGGUAGCCACACAGCACUGCGGAAUAUUUCAUAUCGACUUGUGUCAUCACACACCAGAAAUGAGCAGCCUAGCUACAGUAUUAUGCAGAAUGUAAGAAGAAAGAAAGAAAGAAAGAAAGAAAGAAAGAAAGAAAGAAAGAAAGAAAGAAAGAAAGAAAGAAAGAAAGAAAGAAAGAAAGAAAGAAAGAAAGAAAGAAAGAAAGAAAGAAAGAAAGAACANAAGAAAGAAAGAAAGAAAGAAAGAAAGAAAGAAAGAAAGAAAGAAAGAAAGAAAGAAAGAAAGAAAGAAAGAAAGAAAGAAAGAAAGAAAGAAUGAACACAACAUGUAUUUUGGGUACGUCAUGUCUAUGUUCCUAUCUGGGUUUUUUAAGCAUUUGAAUAAAGACUGCUUUUCAAACCUAAAACA
rnacentral:lncRNA from 1 species